rnacentral:rRNA from 1 species
CAGCAUGGUCUUAGCUUGCUAAGGCCGAUGGCGACCGGCGCACGGGUGAGUAACACGUAUCCAACCUGCCUGAUACCGGGGUAUAGCCCAUGGAAACGUGGAUUAACACCCCAUAGUACUUUUAUCCUGCAUGGGAUGUGAGUUAAAUGUUCAAGGUAUCGGAUGGGCAUGCGUCCUAUUAGUUAGUUGGCGGGGUAACAGCCCACCAAGACGAUGAUAGGUAGGGGUUCUGAGAGGAAGGUCCCCACAUUGGAACUGAGACACGGUCCAAACUCC